rnacentral:lncRNA from 1 species
AUGAUGAUAAACUCUUCUCUGCUGCUCUCCAUCGUCUCCAAUAUCACCUCUUGCGUGAGAGUUUCCUCUGACCUUUACCGCCCGCUCAGCCAACAUACGAAUACAGGAAGAAACACACAACUUAGAAAAGGUGAUUCUAAAGCGCGAGUCUGAGAACCGCCACUAUUGACAGGAGCCACUGACAUCCGCCUUGGCAUCCAAGUUAGCAGAAUGGAGCCUCUAAGCAAAAAGAAGGCACCAGGGGCAGUAGGACACUCAGGAUAUUCUCCGGGGUACAGGCACACGGUGUGCAGCUGCCAUCUGAACCCUGAAACUUCUGGGUAAGUCUUCGCUGGGAAUAAAUGUUUUCCCCAGAGAGCUGGCA